rnacentral:lncRNA from 1 species
AAAAAACUGAAUGUGUUCAGUCUUGGUGUUUUACAUGCUAUGGGUUUGAACAAAUAUAUAAUGAUAUACAUCCACCAUGGUAGAAUCCUACAGAAGUUUCAUUGCCUUAAAAUUCUCAGUGCUUUGCCAUUCAUCCCUCCUUCCCCUGGUAACCACUGAUCUUUACUGUCUCAAUAGUUUUACCUUUUCUAGAGAUCAUAUAGUUGAAAUCAAACCUUCCCCUGGGAACCACUGAUCUUUUUAUUGUCUCAAUAGUUUUACCUUUUCCAGAGAUCACAUAGUUGAAAUCGUAGUUGAAUUUGCAUUUAACAAGUUCGGAACACUCUUUUUUUAGAAUCUAAGAAGUGACGUUUCCGAACCUAUUGACCUUUUAUAAGAAAAUAUGAAUAUCCAGCCCUAAAAACUAGAAACAAGCUAUCUGUAAAAACGCUUUGUGAUGUGUUGCUUUAUAUCACAGAAUUGAACCUGUGAUAUAGGUUUUCAGAUUGACUUCUUUCACUUAGCAAUAGGCAUUUAAAGCUUUUCCCAUGUUUUUCAUGGUUUGAUAGCUCAUUUCUUUGUAGCACUUUUUUGCAUUUCUUUUUAGCAUCCCCUUAUCUGGACGUCCUACAGUUUAUUUAUUCAGCUACUGAAGGACAUCUUGAUUGCUUCCAAUUUUUG